rnacentral:rRNA from 1 species
AAAACUUUCAACAACGGAUCUCUUGGUUCUGACAUCGAUGAAGAACGCAGCGAAAUGCGAUAAGUAAUGUGAAUUGCAGAAUUCAGUGAAUCAUCGAAUCUUUGAACGCAUCUUGCACCCUCCGGUAUCCCGGUGGGUAUGCCUGUUCGAGCGUCAUU